GCCAGGCUGUUGCACUUAUAUUUGAGUCACAAUGAACUAUGAACUAUCCUUAUAUGAAAAUUUGUUGAAAAGUUUGACUAUAUAUGUAUACAAAUAGAGACUAAUUAAAUAAAUUAUUUACUCAGAAAUUGGAUGUUGAUCAUAUUAUUUCUUAUCAUGUCAAGAGCUCUUUUUCUUCUCUCUAACAUAUCUUUCAGAGAGAUAACUUCUUAUCUUUGAUCGCUGUCCGACUUAUAUUUUCGGCUUUUGUGCUUGAAUGAGGUCCGGUUUUGCUGUCAACACAACUUUUCCGUUGUCGUGUUCUUGUCGUUAAUACGGCUUUUCCGUUGUCAUGUGCUUGCCGUUAACAUGGCUUUCUUUUGCCGUGUUCUUUUGUUGUUUCAAAGACCACGGCUUUUCCGUUGUCAUGUGCUUGCCGUUAACAUGGCUCUCUAUUGCCGUGUUCUUUUGUUGUUUCAAAGACUCGAUGUUGAAAAUUUUCGGGGUUGUGUGAUUGAUAGAUCAAGAUAGUUUUCUCUUCAACAGACCUAACCUUGGUGUUGUUUGAUAUUGUUU